rnacentral:rRNA from 1 species
UACGUAGGGUGCGAGCGUUGUCCGGAAUUAUUGGGCGUAAAGAGCUUGUAGGUGGUUUGUCGCGUCUGCUGUGAAAAUCCGAGGCUCAACCCCGGACUUGCAGUGGGUACGGGCAGACUAGAGUGUGGUAGGGGAGACUGGAAUUCCUGGUGUAGCGGUGGAAUGCGCAGAUAUCAGGAGGAACACCGAUGGCGAAGGCAGGUCUCUGGGCCACUACUGACGCUGGAGAAAGCGAAAGCAUGGGGAGCGAACAGG